UUGAAAAGACAGUGGCAGUAUCGUAGCCAAUGAGGUUUAUCCGAGGCGCGAUUAUUGCUAAUUGAAAAGAUACACAUAUGAGAUACACAUUUAUGUAUCUGUAAGGAAAGAAAUCAAAAUGUUAACGGUGGUUUUCUAU